ACAAAAACAAAAGGAAAAAACCCCAAAGGUCCAGUAGAGACUGACAGAAAGCUGAAGCAGUCAGUGGGGUCCCCAUUUGAGAGAGUUCCCUAGCUCGGUCCUCUCCACGGAUGAGCGUCCAUUGCUGAAGCUUCUCUCUUUACACCACGGGCCCAGCACCAGGGGCCUCUGUGGCGAACAGUUCACCUCCCAACUGUUCUCCAGGAUGCCGUGGGCUCUUUCGGUGCUCUCCUCCCUCCCUGUCAUAGCAUUAGGAGGACAAGAGGUCUCCAUUUCGAGACAAACAAGCUCGGGUCAGAGUGGGAGAGGGCCCCCUCAGAGCCAGCUCCCCAGUGAGCCCAGUCAAGACAUGACUCUUUGUUAACUCACUGUACAUUCCAUUCAGCCUGUAAUUUGUUCAUGUGUUGUAAAGGAGGUUUUAUAUCUAACACCUUAGUGGACCGGUGUCAUACAUUCGGCCCAAAUGCAAUAAAAAAGUGGUCCUAUUUAUAAAGGCUUUGGUGUUUAACUGUAGUCUCAGCUUUGGUCUGGUUUGCUUGGCUAUUUCAUACCCAGAUGCAAGAACUUUUAUUUAUCUUUUCUUUUUACUGUUUUUUUUUCUUGUUGGUGUAGCUCUAAAAUUUUUACAUAUGUAAUCCCACAUAUGCAUUUGCCUUUUAUCAUAAUAAUCUCUCAUAAUAAUAAUUAUUAAGGCUUUGGAGCCCAAUUCUAUAGGCCAUGACAGCUCUUCAGUGCCUUAGAGCUGGACAGAGAGACUGAUGAAAGGGUCGGUAGGUACCUCCCCCAGGCUCCCCGAAAGAGAGCUCUGUGGCAGCAGCGCUCAGUAGACAGAGGUCGCCGUGGUCGGAUGUUGGCAUCUGUCACAUGUCAAGAAGGACCGAGGAUGCAAAGAAAAGCUAGAACCGUGAGAUGCAGUCUCCAUGGAAUAUGUAACAGGAUCCGGGUGUUUUCUGGAAGACAGGGCUUAAUCUCGGAGUGGUGAGCCAGCGAGUGGUGUUAUGGAAUUUGACCAGUUGUCUCUUUUUAAUUGCUUAUACUUUUAAAAUUGCUUUGGUUGUAGAGUCCUUUUUGAUGUUUAAGACUAUAUAAAUGGCCACAGAUUCGCCUUCUGUUUUCAUCUCUAACUUCAUUCGGGACUGCCUGACAGUUACCACUCUUAGAGUCUUCAGGAGAGCUCCACCUGUCAGUUAUCCCGUCUGCAGGGCGGGGCCGGCCCUGCUGACCAUGUCUUCAUUUGAAAGCAUAUGCCAUGCCCCUCUCCAUCGGCCCUCCUCCCUGCCCGAUGUGUCCUGGGCAGAGUCCGGUCUCCACAGACUCCAUGGCCGCUCUCAUCAAGGAAGAGGUGACUUAUGGAGAGGUUCCCAUCAUCUCCCGGGGUGUGUCUGGCCUUGGAGGACAAGGGCCAGAACAUUGACUGUCGUUAGUGUUUUCUUCAUUCUCAUUGGUGUAGGCUUCCAGGUUUGGGCUGCUGAAUGCCAACCAAAGGGAUGGUUUCUCCAAUCUUAUAAUUUCAGUGUAACAUUUUAGAGAAACUUCCACAAAAUCCAACAGUUUUAAACAAACCCUGAUUUUGCCAAGGUUUAGUUUUCUCCAGUGAUUAAUGCCCAAAAA